rnacentral:rRNA from 1 species
UUAAAAUGUAUAGUUUUGCUAGAGUAGUAGUAGUUAUGUUCUUGAAACUAAAAAAAUUUGGCGGUAUUUUAGUCUAUUCAGAGGAAUCUGUUCUGUAAUCGAUAAUCCACGAUGGACCUUUCUUAAGUUUGUUUUUCAGUUUAUAUACCGUCGUUAUCAGAAUAUUUUAUAAAAAUAAUAAUUUUCAGUAAUUUUUAUAAAAAUUUAUAUCAGAUCAAGGUGUAGCUUAUAUUUAAGUAGAAAUGGAUUACAAUAAAAUUAUUUAAAUGGAUAUAAUAAUGAAAAAGUUGUUGAAAGUGGAUUUGAUAGUAAAUUUAUAAAGAUUAAUAAUUUGAUUUUAGCUCUAAAAUAUGC